CCAAUAGCGUAUAUUAAAGUUGUUGCAGUUAAAAAGCUCGUAGUUGAAUUUCGGGAUCAAUGUUUCGGUCAUGCCGUUGGUAUGUACUGAUAUUAUUGGUUUCUCACCUUCUAAAGAACCGUAACGCCAUUAAUUUGGUGUCACGGGGAAUUAGGACUGUUACCUUGAAAAAAUUAGAGUGUUUAAAGCAGGCUCACGCUUGAAUACAUUAGCAUGGAAUAAUGAAAUAGGACAUCCGAUUCUAUUUUGUUGGUUUCUAGGAUCGAUGUAAUGAUUAAUAGGGAUAGUUGGAGGCAUUAGUAUUCAAUUGUCAGAGGUGAAAUUCUUGGAUUUAUUGAAGACUAACUACUGCGAAAGCAUUUGCCAAGGAUGUUUUCAUUAAUCAAGAACGAAAGUUAGGGGAUCGAAGACGAUCAGAUACCGUCGUAGUCUUAACCAUAAACUAUGCCGACUAGGGAUCGGAUGAUGUUAAUUUUUUAAUGACUCAUUCGGCGCCUUACG
rnacentral:rRNA from 1 species